rnacentral:tRNA from 1 species
GGAGAGAUGGCCGAGCGGUUUAAGGCACUGGUCUUGAAAACCAGCGACGGGCAACUGUCCGUGGGUUCGAAUCCCACUCUCUCCG